UGCCGGAUAUGCUUAAGAUGGCCCUGAGCUUGAGACUGUUAAUCUCAGGGUUGUGGAUUCAAGCCCCACAUUGGGCAA